UACGUAGGGUGCGAGCGUUGUCCGGAAUUAUUGGGCGUAAAGAGCUCGUAGGCGGUUUGUCGCGUCGACUGUGAAAACCUACAGCUUAACUGUGGGCUUGCAGUCGAUACGGGCAGACUUGAGUUCGGGAGGGGAGACUGGAAUUCCUGGUGUAGCGGUGAAAUGCGCAGAUAUCAGGAGGAACACCGGUGGCGAAGGCGGGUCUCUGGGCCGAUACUGACGCUGAGGGGCGAAAGCGUGGGGAGCGAACAGG
rnacentral:rRNA from 1 species